AAAGACGCGGCACGUGACUUGGGACGCACGCAGGCCGGCGGGGCGGGGCGGGAAGUGCGGUUGGUGCCGGCGCUAGGCGGCUCAUCCCAUCUCUUAGUGCCGGCUGAGUCCCAUCCAGUGUCUUUUCAGAUGAAGAGGAACUGUACUCAAGGGGCUAUAUUUAAGGAACUGUACCCAAGAAGUUCAUCCGUACCUGGAUCUCAAGCCUGAUCAGGCCUGAGAUAGUUUUCCCCCAGCCUUUGAGCCACCCCAGUUGAUACUGAGUGGAGCAGAGACAAGCUAUCUCCUCUGAAACCUGUUUAAAUUGCACAUUCAUGAGCAAAGAAUACUACUUCUUUAGAAAUGACUAAUUCGAGAGCAGGAAAAGCAGAAGUUUCAGGUGCUGGGAAUAUAUAUGUGGAAAGGAUACAGUAUCUGAAUUUUAAGGAGCUUAUGGUCUGAUCUUGGAGACAGACAAUUGUAAUAAAAUAAGUACAGUAGUAUAUAGUAUGUGUUAUGAAAGAAAUGUGUACAGGAUGGAGUAGAGCCCAAGGGAAGGAGUAGGAUGGGAACCUGCUGUCAAGAAAUAUUUCCUUAUGACAUGAUGCCUGACAUGAUGCCUGAAUCCUGAAAGAGUGAGACAUAAUGAAGACUGCUGGUGGGAGAAACCUGGCUCCAGUCUGGGGCAUCUAAGGAUACACAGCUGCACAGUGAUGGAAAUAUUGUGUAAUAAAAACAGUACACUUGCUCAGAGUGAAUUAUUAUUAAUCUAUAAGGAAUGUGAGUUAAUUGAAAAAGGGUGUAUGUUCUUGCCAGUGGAUAAAACUCGGCUGUGUUUCUCAGGGAUGCUCUGCCCUACCUAUUGAAACCAUCCCCUGAGAUGCUCAGGGAAGACAAGUAAAAGCUACCAGGAAAAGGCUAAGGGAAAUUAAGUUAAGUGUAGAA